GGGCCCGUAGCUUAGCCCGGCAGAGCGCCCGGCUGAUAACCGGGAGGCCGGGGGUUCGAAUCCCCCCGGGCCCACCA
rnacentral:tRNA from 1 species